rnacentral:lncRNA from 1 species
UAAGGACGUGCAUGACUCAAGCCUGUCAAAGGAAUUCCCUAGUGGCCCAGAUAGAGGCUUAUCUAAAGAGAAAUCUGGCCCUUGCAUGAUCUGCUGUGAUGGUGAGUCCAUCAAGAAAGGCAACACAUUGACAGUGAGGUUGUGAAGACUGUGAUGGCAGCAGUGAGGAAGAUGAUGAAAGCAAGAGCAUGAUACCAUCAAGGACAUAGGUGAACUCAAUGUCUUUCAUAUGGACACUCACUUCCUCAGCUACCCCUGGUGAGGGGCCCACGACCAGUGCCAUGCCAGCCUGCCUUGGCUUGCUUCACCACAUCAACACCUGGCCAUACCUCUGGACUCUGGAGUCACAUCCUGUC